CUCUUCUUAGCCAAUCAGAAUUAAGAAAUUUUUCAUGUAUGUUAAUAGUAACGCUUUAUUCAUUGAGGAUAAACAGAUAAAGUUACAACAUUUUUCCAAUCUGAUCCUUCUAAAUUCUAUAUAUAAACACAACAACAAUAACAUUAAAACAUAACUAUUUUCAGUACUGCCAAGGAGUAUGAACAAACGAAAUCAUGGGUAUAAUGUAAAGUAUUAACCAG